rnacentral:rRNA from 1 species
GUAGCCUACGGGAGGCAGCAGUGGGGUAUAUUGCACAAUGGGGGAAACCCUGAUGCAGCGACGCCGCGUGUGGGAAGACGGUCCUCUGGAUUGUAAACCACUGUCCCCAGGGACGAAGAUGACGGUACCUGGGGAGGAAGCUCCGGCUAACUACGUGCCAGCAGCCGCGGUAAUACGUAGGGAGCGAGCGUUGUCCGGAAUUACUGGGUGUAAAGGGAGCGUAGGCGGGACUGGAAGGUGGGUGUCAAAUCUACCGGCACAACCGGAAG